UCGUUAUGUCCCUCUUCCAAUUUUUCUAAUUUUUUGAUAGAAAAAGUAAUUUUUCUGUACAUUAUUUGAGUGUAUUCUGUUUCUUAAGGUCUUUUUAAUGUCCUGAAAACGAGCGUUAUUAAUACACACCAGCACAUAAAGACCUCCCAAAAAAAAGACCUGGAGCAUCCCUUAUAUAUUAAUCCUGACGUCUAGCCAUCACUCUGGUUUAUAAAAUUGGUUUUACAUUAUAUGAUUAAAAAUUUUUUACAACAAAUUAAUAGAUGUAUACAGUUCCAGGGCAGUACAUUUAUCCUUUUCAUGAAUAUUACCAACAAUGUAUCAG